rnacentral:rRNA from 1 species
CCCCAGACUCCUACGGGAGGCAGCAGUGGGGAAUAUUGGGCAAUGGGCGCAAGCCUGACCCAGCAACGCCGCGUGAAGGAAGAAGGCUUUCGGGUUGUAAACUUCUUUUAUGAGGGACGAAAGAAAUGACGGUACCUCAUGAAUAAGCCACGGCUAACUACGUGCCAGCAGCCGCGGUAAUACGUAGGUGGCAAGCGUUGUCCGGAAUUACUGGGUGUAAAGGGAGCGCAGGCGGGAAGCCAAGUCAGCUGUGAAAACUACGGGCUUAACUUGUAGACUGCAGUUGAAACUGGUUUUCUUGAGUGAAGUAGAGGUUGGCGGAAUUCCGAGUGUAGCGGUGAAAUGCGUAGAUAUUAGGAGGAACACCAGUGGCGAAGGCGGCCUGCUGGACGACAACUGACGGUGAGGCGCGAAAGCGUGGGGAGCAAACAGGAUUAGAUACCCUUGUAAU